rnacentral:rRNA from 1 species
AUUGAACGCUGGCGGCAGGCCUAACACAUGCAAGUCGAGCGAGCGGCGGACGGGUGAGUAAUGUAUGGGGAUCUGCUCGAUAGAGGGGGAUAACUACUGGAAACGUUGGCUAAUACCGCUUACUAUCGGAUGAACCCAUAGGGGAUUAGCUAGGAGGGGGGGUAACGGCUCACCUAGGCGACGAUCUCUAGCUGGUCUGAGAGGAUGAUCAUCCACACUGGGACUGAGACACGGCCCAGACUCCUACGGGAGGCAGAAGUGGGGAAUAUUGCACAAUGGGCGAAAGCCUGAUGCAGCAAUGCCGCGGUGAUGAAGAAGGCCUUAGGGUUGUAAAAUACUUUCAGCGGGGAGGCGUUACCCGCAGAAGAAGCACCGGCUAACUACGUGCCAGCAGCCGCGGUAAUAC